rnacentral:tRNA from 1 species
UCCAGGGUAGCCUAGUGGUCAUGGCAUCUGCCCGGUAAGCGGAAGGUCGUGGGUUCGAUUCCAAUCCCUUGAA